ACGGGUGAGUAAUACAUCGGAACGUAUCCUGGAGUGGGGGAUAGCCCGGCGAAAGCCGGAUUAAUACCGCAUACGCUCUGAGGAGGAAAGCGGGGGACCUUCGGGCCUCGCGCUCAAGGGGCGGCCGAUGGCGGAUUAGGUAGUUGGUGGGGUAAAGGCCUACCAAGCCGACGAUCCGUAGCUGGUCUGAGAGGGCGACCAGCCACACUGGGACUGAGACACGGCCCAGACUCCUACGGGAGGCAGCAGUGGGGAAUUUUGGACAAUGGGGGCAACCCUGAUCCAGCAAUGCCGCGUGUGUGAAGAAGGCCUUCGGGUUGUAAAGCACUUUUGUCCGGAAAGAAAUCAUCGGGGCCAAUACCCCUGGUGGAUGACGGUACCGGAAGAAUAAGCACCGGCUAACUACGUGCCAGCAGCCGCGGUAAUACGUAGGGUGCGAGCGUUAAUCGGAAUUACUGGGCGUAAAGCGUGCGCAGGCGGUGCUGUAAGACCGAUGUGAAAUCCCCGGGCUUAACCUGGGAACUGCAUUGGUGACUGCAGCGCUGGAGUAUGGCAGAGGGGGGUGGAAUUCCACGU
rnacentral:rRNA from 1 species